GGACCCUGAGCCUAUGAAAUCCUGACUACAAAAAUGGUGGCGGGAGCCGUCCCUGGAUGGGGGUCACUAGCCUCCCCAUUGUGACUCGUUUGAGCUCUUAGCCAGGCGUGUAGUCUGGCGGGAGCCGUCGCGGCUGGCUCGGCAGCUCCAGGCUAUUCCGAGGAACAGUCUUCAGAGAGCCUGGGGUGCUGAUGGGGAAAAGCUGUUGCUGAGAUUUGACAAGUUUGGUCCUGAGAUGUCAGAAAGGAUUUCAGCUCUUCUGCCACCCCAAGGACGGUGGCGCGUAAAUCACAGUGAGCUGGCUUAUGUCAGGUCAACUGUGGAAUUUGAUCCUAGCGCAUUGCUCCCUCCUCUUCCUUGCCUGCGUCUCUCCCUCUCUCAGCUCUAGUUUGAGAUCAGCACAGAUUCCCUGGGUGAUUUUUGAGAAAACUGCCUCCUCUUUAGGACUUGGCAUCCCCUAACCUGCAUCAGGAAAGGGUGGCGACAGAUACUCUCACACCCAGGGAGGCUGCAAGGCCCACCCUCUACCCUCCACCUGGGUUCUCUGGCGUCGAGACUUGUGCCCUACAGUUCUGGGCCGUUGGGGUGAUGUCCCAGUGGGACCAGGGUGAGGGUGCAGGUAUCUGAGGGAGUAGUAGGACCAGAACCUCUAACCUUAGGGAGGCUUCCUGGGAGCCAAGCUUGGUGACUUAGAAUGUGAAUGUCUGACCCAUAUCCCACUACCUUUUGGUGGGUGCUGCAGAGGACAAUGGAGAGAGAGUCAACUCUGAAGAGUGGUCUUGUGGAAGAGGCAGCUGGCUGGUUCAGUGUGGCACUGGCAGCCUCCCUAAGGUUCCCAGGUAGAAGUUUCUGACAGGUAGAUUUCAGCUGUGUUUAAGGAAGAACUUUGAAGUUGUCAGAAUGAGCGGUCUUGUGAUAGUGAGCUCCCUGUCUCCAGAGGCAUGCAAGCAGGACACUUUCACAUAUGCAUUCAAGAUGACCUAUGCAAGGCGUUGUGCUAAGUGCUAGGAGUGCAGAGGAGAACGAGACCCAGUGGGGAAACAGGCACUUGCAAUGCUGCUGUGAGUGUGAGCAGAGGAGGACAUGUUGCAGAAGAAAUGCAAGUACAGUGAAGAAUAAGACUGGGGAACUUUUACAAUUCAGAGUGGCCUUCACUGUGGGCGGUCCGAAUUGAUCCCUGUAUACAGGUGCUUCUGGGGUGACAUUUUCCCUGCUCCAUGGAGCUCCGGGAGGAGUGCGGACCAACCCCUUCUUUGCAGGCCUGUCUGUGGGGUGCCACUCCUCCUCCCACCUCCCCACUGCACAGACAGCCCAUCAGUGUCCCUGAGCUGCUCCAGAAGGAUGCAGCUCUGAGGAGGCUCUGGGAGCGGUGUAUCCUAGCAACCUCUGAGGCUGGCAUCUGCAGGGCUAGGCCCAGACUCAAGGCUCUUUCUAAUUUGCCAGCCUUCCCUUAAUGAUAAGCUUUCCCACACGGAUGUGGAGUGGGGAGGAAGAGGGGAGAAGUGGGCAGGAAGUGUUGCCUCCAACCCCAUCACAGAGUAGGUCAAGCCUCGCCCACAAUACUGCCGGGGAUGGGGAAGGAGGGAGGGCACAGUGAGUCCGUUAACUGAAUAUGCCACUUGUCCAUCACCGUGGCCGGUUUAUCACCAUUUAGAGGACAAUGAAUCCAGGCAGUGAUCCACCAAUGAUAACUAACAUCAUAAAAAGAUACAUGGCCGGAUAUGAUGUUCCUUCUGACGGAAGACCACAACACCUGCUGAAAAAUCAAAUCUGAAUCGGAUCAAGCCUCUAGAGGCCCAGCACUUUGGGAGGCCGAGGCAGGCAGAUCACCUGAGGCCAAGAAUUAAAGACCAGCUUGGUCAACACGGCAAAACCUCAUCUCUACCAAAAAUACAAAAAUUAGCCGGGCAUGGUAGCACACUCCUGUAGUCCCAGCUACUCGGGAGGCCGAGGCAUGAGAAUUGCUUGAACCCGGAUGAAGCCUGUUCCCAGCUACUCGGGAGGCUGAGGCAUGAGAACUGCUUGAAUCCAGAUGGAGGAAGUUGCAGUGAGUGGAGAUCGCGCCACUGCACUCCAGCCUGGGCGACAGAGCAAGACUGUCUCAAAUAAUAAUAAUAAUAAUAAAGAUGUCUGGGAUGUGCUUUAAAAUAAUUCAUUGCAGAGAGAAGAAGGAAGUAAAAGUUUGGAUGAAACAAGGAGGCAGCACCCAGGGUCAUUCCUGGAGCAUAAACGAUCCCUGCAGAACAUGGGCUAGAAGACCCCACAGUGGGGCAGAGGCAGGUCCUGGACUGGGAUCCCAGCAGUGAGAAGACCUGGACAUCAACCCUAUUUCAUUGUGCCUCUGCAAAUCUCCCAACUUUUGGAGCUGUAGCUGCAAGCUCAGACUUGUGGUUUCCUGUACCUGGAGGAGGCCCAGGUCAUUCUGUUAAGUCCCUUGUCUAUUUCCUGCUUUUAUCUGGAUGCUGAGUUAAUUAUUUGAUCCAACAAUAAAACUAACAAGGUUUUAU
rnacentral:lncRNA from 1 species